GGGGCCGCCCGGUUUUGACAGCUUAGGUCUUUGAACGUGUCAGCAUGUCGUGCGUUGGAUAAUUAGCACGUUAAUCUGAAUAUUCAACUCUCAAAUGGCGAAACUUCUUUCGCUAUGGCUGCCUAAUUAGAUUAGGUAUCCAUAAUGGCCGCUCAUUUCGGGUUUAAGUUCGACCUACGUUGAGUCGCCUUCACCGGAAAACGAACUUUGCCAUACCAUCAGGCUGUGCGUGGUAUGUAAGACUUAUCCAGCUAAGGGUGCAGUAGGUUGGUUUCUGUCCGGCUCACCCCAACAAAUAAUAUGGAACUAAACAUGUAGAAAGCGUUUGCAGAAUAGGUUUGGACAGGGGUUCGACUCCCCUCGGCUCCACAA
rnacentral:tmRNA from 1 species